rnacentral:lncRNA from 1 species
GGCUGAGCACGGUGGAACCAGUCUUCUCAGCUGCCUCUCGGAGGCUAGCGGUUCCCCUUGGCCUCUGUGGAACCCCGCUUCCAUGUCCCCAGUGGACACAGCAUCCCGGAACCUCCAGGCCCAUGGCCACUAGCUUGAGGUCGCCCGCUUUCACCUCAUGUUCUUCCGCCUCGACAGACACACGAGGAGGGAGUGUGCGGCACUUGUGAAGAUGCUUCUCUGUGCAAGAGGAGCUGGCAUGUCACAGGAGGUGUGGAGGACACCCAGGACUGGGCCUUGCUCCUGGACAGCAGCCAGGGACAGCCAUGAGGAAGGACAGUCCUUGGAUUCAAAGGGGAUCCCACAGGGCCGACUGUGGCACAAGCUGCCCAAGGAUAUUUUGCUCAAGUCCAUGGCAUCUCUCAGCUGAUAAAAGCAUUUCUACAGAAGAAAGAAUGUUAUUGUCAAAUUCUAAAUCUUGGGACUCAAUGGAGACCACCUUCUGGAGAUUAAAGGCACAUUUUCUGGUCCUGCACCUUAGAGUUUCUGAUUUUGCCAUCAUAGUGUCCGAAGCUCAUGACCAAGAAAGAAUUUUUCAGCUGUCUCUGGUGCUGCAAAAAGGUGAUUUUAUUAAAAACCAGGGACAGGACCUAUAGGCAAAAAGAGCUGCCAUGGGGUCGUGAGGAGUGGCCUAUUCUAUACUUUCAAGUUUGAGGGGGUUGGAGAUAGUGUAAGUCUCCAAGGAAUUCUGGAAGGAAGGUUUCCAGGACCAUGAGAGGCUAGCUAUUGUUGGCAAAGGGUCAUUGAUUAUGGUCUAAUAAAGCCUUAGUCAUGAGACCCUUCA